AAUAGAUACCCCGGUAGUCCACGCCCUAAACGAUGUCUACUAGUUGUCGGGGAUUUAAUUUCCUUGGUAACGCAGCUAACGCGGGAAGUAGACCGCCUGGGGAGUACGGUCGCAAGAUUAAAACUCAAAGGAAUUGACGGGGACCCGCACAAGCGGUGGAUGAUGUGGAUUAAUUCGAUGCAACGCGAAAAACCUUACCUACGCUUGACAUGUCCGGAAUCCUGCAGAGAUGUGGGAGUGCCCGAAAGGGAGCCGGAACACAGGUGCUGCAUGGCUGUCGUCAGCUCGUGUCGUGAGAUGUUGGGUUAAGUCCCGCAACGAGCGCAACCCUUAUCAUUAGUUGCUACGCAAGGGCACUCUAAUGAGACUGCCGGUGACAAACCGGAGGAAGGUGGGGAUGACGUCAAGUCCUCAUGGCCCUUAUGCGUAGGGCUUCGACACGUCAUACAAUGGUCGGUACAGAGGGCUGCCAACCCGCGAGGGGGAGCCAAUCCCANAAAACCGNUCGUAGUCCGGAUUGCAGUCUGCAA
rnacentral:rRNA from 1 species